rnacentral:rRNA from 1 species
GACGAACGCUGGCGGCGUGCUUAACACAUGCAAGUCGAACGGAAAGGCCCCUUCGGGGGUACUCGAGUGGCGAACGGGUGAGUAACACGUGAGUAACCUGCCCUUGACUUCGGGAUAACUUCAGGAAACUGGGGCUAAUACCGGAUAGGAAUCCUUGCUGCAUGGUGGGGGUUGGAAAGCUUCGGCGGUUUUGGAUGGACUCGCGGCUUAUCAGCUUGUUGGUGGGGUAGUGGCUUACCAAGGCUUUGACGGGUAGCCGGCCUGAGAGGGCGACCGGCCACAUUGGGACUGAGAUACGGCCCAGACUCCUACGGGAGGCAGCAGUGGGGAAUAUUGCUCAAUGGGCGGAAGCCUGAUGCAGCAACGCCGCGUGCGGGAUGACGGCCUUCGGGUUGUAAACCGCUUUCAGCAGGGGCGAAGCUUGUGGUGACGGUACCUGCAGAAGAAGCACCGGCUAACUACGUG